CCAGAGAACUUAGCAGAGAUGCUUUGGUGCCUUCGGGAACUCUGAGACAGGUGCUGCAUGGCUGUCGUCAGCUCGUGUUGUGAAAUGUUGGGUUAAGUCCCGCAACGAGCGCAACCCUUAUCCUUUGUUGCCAGCGGUCCGGCCGGGAACUCAAAGGAGACUGCCAGUGAUAAACUGGAGGAAGGUGGGGAUGACGUCAAGUCAUCAUGGCCCUUACGAGUAGGGCUACACACGUGCUACAAUGGCGCAUACAAAGAGAAGCGACCUCGCGAGAGCAAGCGGGACCUCAUAAAGUGCGUCGUAGUCCGGAUUGGAGUCUGCAACUCGACUCCAUGAAGUCGGAAUCGCUAGUAAUCGUAGAUCAGAAUGCUACGGUGAAUACGUUCCCGGGCCUUGUACACACCGCCCGUCACACCAUGGGAGUGGGUUGCAAAAGAAGUAGGUAGCUUAACCUUCGGGAGGGCGCUUACCACUUUGUGAUUCAUGACUGGGGUGAAGUCGUAACAAGGUAGGCGUAGACGU
rnacentral:rRNA from 1 species